rnacentral:rRNA from 1 species
GCUCUUGUAAUGAGAGUGUGCCUUUUGGAACCAAGAUACAGGUGGUGCAUGGCUGUCGUCAGCUCGUGUCGUGAGAUGUUGGGUUAAGUCCCGCAACGAGCGCAACCCACGUCUUUAGUUGCCAGCAUUUAGUUGGGCACUCUAGAGAGACUGCCGGUGAUAAACCGGAGGAAGGUGUGGAUGACGUCAAGUCAUCAUGCCCCUUACAUCCUGGGCUACACACGUACUACAAUGCUACGGACAAAGGGCUGCAAGUUCGCGAGGACAAGCAAAUCCCAUAAACCGUGGCUCAGUUCAGAUCGUAGGCUGCAACUCGCCUACGUGAAGGCGGAAUCGCUAGUAAUCGCAGGUCAGCAUACUGCGGUGAAUACGUUUCCCGGGCCUUGUACACACCGCCCGUCACACCAUGGAAGUUGGCCACGCCCGAAGCCGUUACUCCAACCCUUGUGGAGGAGGACGUCGAAGGUGGGGCUGAUGACUGGGGUGAAGUCGUA